rnacentral:rRNA from 1 species
UACGUAGGUGACCAGCGUUGUCCGGAAUUAUUGGGCGUAAAGAGCUCGUAGGCGGUGUGUCGCGUCGGCCGUGAAAACCUGCAGCUUAACUGUGGGCUUGCGGUCGAUACGGGCAUCACUGGAGUUCGGCAGGGGAGACUGGAAUUCCUGGUGUAGCGGUGAAAUGCGCAGAUAUCAGGAGGAACACCGGUGGCGAAGGCGGGUCUCUGGGCCGAUACUGACGCUGAGGAGCGAAAGCGUGGGGAGCGAACAGG